rnacentral:rRNA from 1 species
CCCUUAGAUGUUCUGGGCCGCACGCGCGCUACACUGAUGCAUUCAACGAGUCUAAAACCUGGUCUGAUAGGGCUGGGUAAUCUUUUGAAAGUGCAUCGUGAUUGGGAUAGAUGAUUGCAAUUCUUCAUCUUCAACGAGGAAUGCCUAGUAAACGCAAGUCAUCAGCUUGCAUUGAUUACGUCCCUGCCCUUUGUACACACCGCCCGUCGCUCCUACCGAUUGAAUGAUCCGAUGAAUACCAUGGAUUGAGAGUUCGAACAGGUUCGCCUGUUUCAGCUUCUCGAGAAGUGGGGUAAAUCUUAUCAUUUAGAGGAAGGAGAAGUCGUAACA